AGAGAAAGCUCACCAAUACUCCAUUUAAGAUAUAUCUAUGAUGCUCCAAACAAAAAUAUAAAUUUGUUAUCUGUAAUUUCAACUUAAUUCCUACAUUUUCCCAGAACAAAUGCUACCUUUUAACUUAAGUUUAACAUUCCACAGAUGGUUUAUUACCAGUAGGCGCUUAUAUAGCUCACCUCAUCCCAGAGGAUUUCAUACAUCUGUAUGCACACAUAUUUUAAUGCAGAGGAAGAAGUAUGUUCAGAACAAACAAAACAUACAACUGGGUUUAGGGGAGGCAGUAAGAGGCAAUAAGGCUAAUAAUGUCUGAAGCUAAUUUCUGUUCCUACGAAGCCAUGAGAGGAAAUCCAGACUUAAAUGUUAGAAAGAAACACUUUCUAACAAGAAACACGUAGAUCUCAGCAGUCUGCCAUAGCCAUUUUCCUCUGCAAGUUCUUAGUUCAUUGAGUUGUCUGGUCAGUACCUCUUCCUCACCCAGAAUUUACUCAAGCCCCUGACAAGGAUCUAAGAUGCUACAAUCCUUCCCAGCCCACAUCCCAACAAAGAAAAACAAAAUGCCCUCCAGCCAGUUAAUCCUGGAGGAAGGGAGAACAGUCACAGUUUCCUCUACUUGGCCGAUGACAUACAGCCACACAGACUUUCCCGUUGAAAGGAGUUCAUUUCAACACAUACAGUAUUGGGCAACUACUUGUGCAAUAUUAAAUUACAACCAGAGAAGGAGAAACAUCUUCUGGUUUCCUUGCAAAAUAUUCAAAAGAGUUAAGGUAAAACUGACAGUCCCCCAGACUUUUUGUAACAGAAUUAAGGCCGACCAUCAGGAUUACCAACAUUUCAAGCCCACCAAGUGCCUCUGUAGUUAUACUCCUAAGAAUCUACGCUUGUGUCUGCAUGAGUAUCAUGCUGUGCAGCUGGUGGAAACCCUCAGACUGGUCCACCCAAGUCUGUGGGACCCUCAACAGUAUCAGCUGUGACCUCUCACUCUCCUGCCUAUUUUUCAUACCUCGGUCUGCAAUGAUAUGGGGCACUGUCAUCCGCCCGCAAAUCCGUGUACACAGCUGGGGGAAUACAUUUCCCUUGCCCAUUUUUGCAAGAGUAACUUUCUUCUGUGUCUCCAGGAUCCGCCGUACAGCUGAAUGCCAAGGAAGACAGCAAGUGGCCUAUGCUGAGCACGUCUACCGGAGAACAUGCACAGGGGGAUCCAGCAUCCAACAGAGAUGAACAGAAGCUGUCAACAGCAGGAGAAAGACAUGCUCAUGGAUUCAGCUCAAGAGAUGCUCUCCUCUUACUUUUUCUCAAUUCCCUCCCAGCCUACUGUGGGACACCAGUUAUCACAGAAGUUUUACUGUGCAUUCACCUUUUCAAUUAAUCUCAUUAAAAGCAGAGGUUGUUGUUGCUGUUUCAACAGGAAAAUGCAAUGGAUUAUAUCUGAGAAAACCCAAGGCAUGGCAAUUCCAGUAAGAUCCACUAGCUAUAACCAUUGCCUUAACAUUAAAUACAAAGUUAUAGAUGAUCAUGACUGCCACAAUAAUGAUUGCACUGAAGUAAAACAAAAAAAUUAAAUAAUUGGAAAGCAUAAAGAUCUAUUUUAUUAAUGCUCUGGGUUGAAAAAGAAGGUGAGGAGGGUAUAAUUUGAUUUUUGCUGUGAAUGAAUUUGUUUUUAAAGGAAUUCUGCAAUAAUUCUUCUCAGUGUCUGGAAAUGCCUUCAGGAUGUCUUUUUCACACACUCUAGCAUUUGUGAAAGGUGAAACUAAGAAGCAUAAAACCUUGGGGUUGCAUCAGUGAAGUUGUUACAGAAAUUUGAAAUGUUUUUAACAUCUACUUCUCACAACUAAAAAGCUCAGCACAAUGAAAUGGAAUACUUGGGAGCAAAACAGAACUUCAGAGCAUCAUUUGUACUGAUUACCAAAGCAGACUGAUGAGAACUGGCCUUGAGAAUUCUUCUCCAGCUAACCUUGUUAGUAGUUUUAACAUAUGUUAAAAGGCUAAAUUAAAUGCUACAGGGGACCUAUUAUUUAUUUAGCUAUGCCAAGUUGUGUUAAUGCACAAACUACUUUGCCUUCACUCUUCAUUUUAUGUUGUGUUAUUUAGAGUAAAUUGUUUUUCUCCUUGGUAAAGAUGCACCAUUGUAUCAUUUAUGUAAAUUCCAAUGAAGACCCGUAAGCUGCAUUUUAAGUGAAAAAAGAUUUCUGGCUUAAAACAACACCAGGGGUCUGCAUCAGUGUGAGCUCUAAUGUGAGAUAUUCACAGAGGUGAAGUUAUUCUAAAACUCAGGGGUUUAAAUUAAGCUUUUCAGCUUCAUCUAAGUAUCUUGUAAAUAUCUGGACUUCAAUAAUGAAGAGGCUUGAAAGGAAGCAACAAAAGAAAACUCAUUAAGCAACACAUAACAACUUCACAUUGAUACAGGGUUAGCAACCCAAUAAAUCACCCUUCUGAAGGAAUGAUACUAAGGACAGAGAAGGAUGGGAACUGCAACAUGGAGAUACCACAAAAAGAAAGAUGCAAAAGUUCUCAGCUGCAAGCUAUAUUUAAGUGUUUGACAUGCAAUUGUUCUCCUUCCAAUAGGAAUC